rnacentral:rRNA from 1 species
GACGAACGCUGGCGGCGUGCUUAACACAUGCAAGUCGAACGGAAAGGCCCUGCUGUUUUGGGGUGCUCGAGUGGCGAACGGGUGAGUAACACGUGAGUAACCUGCCCUUGACUUUGGGAUAACUUCAGGAAACUGGGGCUAAUACCGGAUAGGAGCUCCUGCUGCAUGGUGGGGGUUGGAAAGGUUCGGCGGUUGGGGAUGGACGCGCGGCUUAUCAGCUUGUUGGUGGGGUAGUGGCUUACCAAGGCUUUGACGGGUAGCCGGCCUGAGAGGGUGACCGGCCACAUUGGGACUGAGAUACGGACCAGACUCCUACGGGAGGCAGCAGUGGGGAAUAUUGCACAAUGGGCGGAAGCCUAAUGCAGAAACGCCGCGUGCGGGAUGACGGCCUUCGGGUUGUAAACCGCUUUCGCCUGUGACGAAGCGUGAGUGACGGUAAUGGGUAAAGAAGCACCGGCUAACUACGUG